rnacentral:rRNA from 1 species
UAAAGAAAGCGUAAUAGCUCACUGGUCGAGUCGGCCUGCGCGGAAGAUGUAACGGGGCUAAACCAUGCACCGAAGCUGCGGCAGCGACACUGUGUGUUGUUGGGUAGGGGAGCGUUCUGUAAGCCUGUGAAGGUGGCCUGUGAGGGUUGCUGGAGGUAUCAGAAGUGCGAAUGCUGACAUAUGUAACGAUAAAGCGGGUGAAAAGCCCGCUCGCCGGAAGACCAA